UAUGGACUCACUUAGCAAAGGGGGCUAAGGACAUAAUGCCUGAGGUGGCAACUGUGAAGCUUUAUUUGUUACAGCCAUUCCACUGUCAGGAAAAGGUGGUUGUUCAGACAAGUGGUGGAUCACCUUAAACCUGAAGAGAAUUAGCCAGGAAUCACCAAAGCGGUCAUGUCACCCAGCCCACAGUCCUGCCUGACCGUAACCUUGACUAGAUAUACAGGGAGGAGGUGUAAGGCUGGUAGAUGCUGAAAGGAUAAUCUUCCCCCACCCAGUGGGCCUGUCGCAUCUCUGAGGCUGGCUUGAGUCUCAAACAUGUACCUUGAAUUCCUUUUCUGAAGUGAUAAUGGCAUUAGCUGUGAGGACACUCAGCUCUUCUUGGUGCCAGUCCCUCUUUGGAACAUUAGCUCAGCACCGCUGACAUCACUUGGCAAUGAAUUUCUUACAGGUCUGCCUGGGCACCAGAUGAGCUUUGUACUGCCAGCUGGUUUCAGUCUUCAAGAUGAACAACCAAACUACCUUGCUGGUGGACCUGCUUGGGGUCUUAUCUCAUGACCUAGCGUGCUCUUUAUAUAGCACUGAGAUGUACGGUGAGGGGUUGAAUAAUAUUUGGAUGUGCUGUGAAGAUGUAAAAACUCUAGACUUGGUAAGAGCCACAGAUUAUUAUCCCAUUCCUGCUGGGUUCCUUCUCUACGUCCACACUAAUAAUUUAAAUAGAGCGGGACCUAGCUAACUGGCACUCGGUCACUCGGUUGGCGAUGUUUUUCAAUUGUAAGCAAGAUCCUGGGCUGGGGACAGCUAGCGUUGACCCGAAUAGUCCCCUGUCUGAGGACUGAGCAGGGGGUCUGGAGACAGCAGGCUCUGUGGUUUGGUUGUGGGCACCCUGUCUUGGAGGCUAAGGAAGAUGGUCUAAGGGAGAAAGAAUGGGCCUUGGCAGGGUUUUGUUUAUUAAUUGUAGAUAUAGUCAGCAUGAACCUCGUCAGCUGCUCAUUAAAUGAUAUGACAAGUCAUGGUGUGCUAUUCAGGAGGAGGCAGUAUUAGGCUAGACCUGCAACCGAGUCCCUGCUUAGUAAGAGAGACAAGGUUUGAGGGAGAGAUCAUAUCUUUUACUAGAAAAAUAUAUUUUAUUAUUAAAAUACCUCCCCCUUUAAACCAUGCCUCUUGUAUUACCUUAGACUAUGCCAGCUACCCAAAUGUGAUUAGGAAGUGUUUAGAAAUGUCUUGCAAUGGAUUUUGUCUCAGCGUUAUCAUUCUAGCGUUUACAAACUUUUGUGGCCCUUUUAAAUCCUUAUCCCAGGGCACACACCAAAGCAAGAGAUUUCAGCUUUGCAAGGUGCCAAAGGUUUCUUAUUAAGUCCAGAAAUAUCAUCCCUGUUUUCCAUGGGAGCUGAGGAGACCAGUGUGUUCCAGGAAGAGCCCAGAAUUUUUUUGCUCCAUGCCUUCCCUUUGUUAUGCUGCCAACAGAGCCUCAAGGACAGCAUAUGGCCUUGUUACACUUGCUUUUUCUUAAAAAAAAAAAAUAUAUUAAGGACUUCACAGUGCUGCAUGCAUUUUAAUGCUGUAAAAUGUGCUGUGUUUAUGUGCAUUACCCUCCAACAAGCAAGAUAUUUCUGCAGAAUUCAGCAGCUUCAGAGCUGGCUGCAUUUUCCUGCAAUAAUUUCUGAUUUUUCAGGCUAGGGGAAUGGUCGCUUCCCCCAGCACGAGACUGAUUUAAAAUUUAAUUCUUUGCCUUCUUCCCAGAAUACUUCCUCAGCUCCAGACUUACUAGAAACUCAGCCUUGAGCUUUCUCAAAACUUAUAGCCAAGAGCUGAAAGAAUUUGCAUCGCCUGGGCUCUGGAGAAGUGUUCAGCAUGGCAACUUCAGGUUGGGUUAAGGGUUCACAGGUUUGGUAAAGCUGCUGCACAGCUCUCUGGAUCACUUCUACUUCUCGCUCCAUCAGGUCCUGUAUUCAGUUCAUCAGAUGCUUUUCCAUUAUUACUUUUUUCUAUAAAUAUGAAACUUUUUUAUUGGAGAAACCAGAUGCAUUUGCCUCUUCUUAUAUAAUGACACAAGCAACCUUGACCAUAUCAGCCAGGUACAGGUAAUUUAAACAGCAGAGAUUACCGCUAGCCCUUUACUGGAGCAGUACAGUUCCUUUCUCGGGAAAAGAAGUUCCUAGUUUACAUGGAGCAAAAAGAUAGCUGAACUGAAUCUGCUAUUAAAAAUUAUACCAAAUGACAUCAUGUUUAAAAGUGGAGCAUUUCAAGCCAAUGCAGGAAAGAGAGGUUGACAUCAGUGGGGAAUAUAGAUGAACGUAGAUAACAUCAGUGCAGUUCUCUCUGCAUUAUUGAUGUACAACAUCUCUGCUGUGACACAACCCUUUCAGUCAGGACUUUCCCUUCAUGGAACUAUUUGGCUGAAAAUGCCAAUGGAGAUAUUCCCUGGAGCCUGCUGUUGCUUCAGCCUUUGUGAUAGGACAUUGGGAUGUUGGACAAAAAUUCUUGAGCUCUGCUGUUUCAUCUGUUAGUACUGCCAUUUCCAGCCUACUUGCUUUGAGAUACAUUCUAUGUACCAGGUAAUUGAAGAAACUAUUCUCUGCUCACUUCUCAUUUGGUCUAGUCUGAAAACCUGUUAAAGCAAUGACUAAGGUCUAGUUAUUUUCGUGUUGCAUGGCUACAUCUGUAUUUUAUUGAGCUAUUCGAGGAGUUCCAGAAGAUGCGUCCUUUAAACUUCCAAGCUUUAGCAGCCCUGUGUGCAAUCAGAUGUUCUUCCCCUAGAUGUGGCCAGGUUGUGUUAUCACGGUAGGAUCUUAGGUUGGUUGCUUUUGUAGGAACUAAGAACACUGUGAGAAUACCCUGACAUUUUAGUUCUUUCAGAUUUUGUCUUAGCAGCAAUAACAUAAGCUUUUAGUACAUGGCUUAUUUACUGUUCUUUAUUAACGUAUCUUUCAUCUACAUCACCAUGACAGUUAGUCACCCCUCUAUACCUUACAUGGGUACAUGUGAGGCAAGAUAGUGGUACUCUGUCAUUCUCCCAGGGCAAUUUUAUUUCUUCCCCUUGCUCUUCAGCAAGAACUGAAAAGUUCUCCCACAGAGCUCCAGCAGGAACCUGUCAAGUUGUAAGGUUUUGGCUGAGUCUUCACUAGAAAUAGGAACGCCUCCAUGUAAGUGAUUCGUGCUCCCUGAGCUUUCUGUUUGCUCCAUAACAUCCUGGUUGCUUUGGGACACAAAAAGAUGCAAGAACUAAUAACUUUGCAAUCUAAGGUAAGAUUCAUCUCACCUGACUUUAGACAUCUACAGUGUGGAUGCCCCACAUGAGUAGAUUAAUGAAUGGAGGCCACUCAUACAGCCUGUAGAAAGGAAUAUGAGCUUCUGGGAUGCAAUUCCUGUCAUCGUAAAGCAGCUGCCUGCGCUUUGUCAGAUAAAUCAUGUCCUAUAAACAUCUGUGUCUGUCUUGAUUUUAGAAAUCCAAGAUACUAACUCAAAGACAAGGAUCAAUCUCUGUUCAGAUAGAGGCACCCAGUGUCUCAAGAUCAAAAUCAGUUUUUAAAGUGUACUCUGCAGACCGCUUACCUGUCAAGGUCAUCUGUUUCUUACGUUCUUAUAGGUGUGGAAGGAAAAUAACUUCUCUCAUUCAACAUUAUGAGUCAGGUUGAUGACAUUACAAUUUCUAUUUUGCAAAACAUCUCAUUGGAACCUUAAUAGCCAGUUUCCGCCUUAUUUGUACAGUAGCACUUCCAAACGAUCUAGUUUUCAUCUUCUUUUCCAGCUGAGGGCUUCAGUAAAGAAGUGUCACCUCUGAAACUCUAGAGUUGUUUCGGUCUUGGGUUUCUAUCCAGACUUGGUCACAGAAAAUUUUUGUAGGAAUAAGGCAAGAUUCCUGCUGUCCUUCUUCCAUCCACAAUUCAUCAGAGAAAUUCAGACAUUAACAUCCAAGGGGAAAAAUCACUGUAGAAGGUAGAGGUGUUUGAAGUUGCCUAGAAUAAUGAAGCCUACCCCUCUCAACUAGCCUCAUAGUCUGGUGUCACAAAGCUUGACAUAGUCCAAUUUUAAAUAACUUAACUUAGCAGAUUUUGAUGACUUCUUUUCUAGCUUGGGAGCUUCUGUGUUAAGUAUCUUGAGUACUUCAUGGAGCCAAGGCUUCUUCGUUAAAGAAGUCUUCACGGACAUCCUGACUUUUCAGCCUUUUGGGUUAGGCUUGAGGUUCACUGUCUUGUUGCUUAGAGCUUGGGAGGAGCAGUAGUUUUCCUUUUACAAGGAUUGUUGUUGUUGAAUUUACCUUUGUCUUUUAAAUUUAUUUUUGCUUUAGAAUAAUGAUCAUAGCUAAGUGAAUGCCUCUUGCCAUGAGGCAGCACAGCAAGCAUAUGUCUCCAUACUUUGACUGCUUUUCCACUGCCUCACCAAGCUUUGAGAGGAAUGGCUCAUUUAAUGAAAACCCAGGGUAGAGGCACACUGUGAUGAGAACGUGUCUAUCCUCAAACCUUACCCCUGCAAAGGGAUAAGCAUUCUUCCUGACCAGGGAUUUUGUCAGGUGUUUAACUUUUCUGUGAGCCAGAUUGAUGCAAGCUCCCACAGUGUUCAGUAGACUGCACCAGUAAAGGCGGGCUCUUCUCAAAAAGAAGGUAGUUUUAAAAAUAAGUAACUAAGGUCCAGUGGCAGGUUUGCCAUAUGGAGAUGAUCCUCAGGCUGAGGUCAAGGUGUGCUGUGAGAGAGGAGUGGGUUUCUGCAGGAGGGACUUUGCAGUGAGAGGCUGAGGAGCAGUGGUGGAGCUGGCUGCAGGACCCAAGCCUGGUGGGGGGAGGUAGUGUCUGACAAAACAAUGCGUGGCGGCUGAUAGAACCAAGAGCAGCUCACUCUUCUGCUGGAGUCUUACUGUUUCUUAGUUGCCCAAGUGAAUAAAAUCAGAAUAAAAUCUAAAGUCAUUUCAGAAUAAUAUAUAAAGGGAGGCAGAGAUGGAAGAUCUUUGGAAAAAAAGUUUGUCUUUAUCUCCCUUGAGCUCAUAAUGUUCAUCCAAGCUCCUCUAGCCUCUGGCUGGGACUUCACUUAGCUGAGGAUUACAGGGGCGAUUUCCAAAAUAUAAGGUUUAUUUUAGUAUGAAAUAUUCCUGCUAAGUAAUUCUGCAGCCUUUCCCACCUGAGUACCAUAUAUUUACCUACUAGCCAUUUGGAGUGGGGAAGGAAGUUGAAAGAGGGAUUAAUCCCACUUUCACUCUCUAAAAGUUAAAGCGGCUGGAGAUGGGCAUCUUCAGAGAGGAAUUCAUCUCACACCCCUUUUUGGGGUCUAACUUUCAAUAACUUGAACUCAGAUGAAACUCAGCCUCUUUACCCAAGUAAAGGCAAACUUCAGGAGGUAGAAAUGGCAGACUCAAGCACUAAAUAAAUUCCUGACAUAGUCAUCAAGGGACGGGGGCAUUUCUGAUGUAAGCCUGUAUUUCAGGUGGUUAUGAAGUCAGCGGGAUACCUCUUCCUGGAGCAGUAAUUUAACCUGCAGCCUCAGAUCCUCCCAUACUACUUUCUGAUUACUGUGUUUUCUUGCUUAGAUGGAAGCCUAGCUGGUUAUAAAAUAAAAUCAACGUGUUUGACUGAAUUAGCAAGUUACCACGAUGCUUCUACUACUUUAAAGCUUGUUUUACUCAGAAAAGUCAAAGCUGGUUGCAGUAAGCCGUUGAGUCCUGUGUGUGCGCCUAGGGCAUGUGAUGGGCUAGAGAGGAUGUGUAUCAGCCACGUACCACAAGCGACAGACAAGGAGCAGCGUGAUGGUUCCUCUGAGUGCUGCAAUGUUUUGCUGUACUUUCAGAGUAGACAUGAGCAUAAAGCUGUGAGACCUUGGCUGCUCUCAUCCAGCCCCCCAAGACAGGGCAGUCAGUUGCACUAAGGUAAUUUUGGCUUAACUCCGUUGAACUGAGGGGCUGAAUCCAGUUUCUCCCCACGGAUUUCCUGAAUUGCCUCCUUUGUGGUGUGUUCUACGUCUCUGCUUGCUUAGCUGUGAAGUUGGCUUUUUAGGGUAGGAGCUGAGCAUCUUUCUUGAGUUAGUUCCACGCGGUGGGUUAUUGCCAGGGCUGCAGUCAUUUGCAUCUCAUCUUGAUAAUUAAAAAAAAAAAAAACCAAACAAAAAAACAACCAGAAA